GCCUUGGUAGCUCAAUUGGCUAGAGCGUGGGACUUUUACCUGGCCUCUAUUCGCAUACUGAUAGUUGCCCGAGGAAGCACAUCCCAAGGUUGCGGGUUCGACCCCCGCCUGAGGCG